rnacentral:rRNA from 1 species
GACGAACGCUGGCGGCGUGCCUAAUACAUGCAAGUCGAGCGGAGUGAUGAAGAAGCUUGCUUCUUCUGAUUUUAGCGGCGGACGGGUGAGUAACACGUGGGCAACCUACCUUGUAGAUUGGGAUAACUCCGGGAAACCGGGGGCUAAUACCGAAUAAUCCAUUUUGCUUCAUGGCGAGAUGUUAAAAGGCGGCUUCGGCUGUCACUACGAGAUGGGCCCGCGGCGCAUUAGCUAGUUGGUAGGGUAAUGGCCUACCAAGGCGACGAUGCGUAGCCGACCUGAGAGGGUGAUCGGCCACACUGGGACUGAGACACGGCCCAGACUCCUACGGGAGGCAGCAGUAGGGAAUCUUCCACAAUGGACGAAAGUCUGAUGGAGCAACGCCGCGUGAGUGAAGAAGGUUUUCGGAUCGUAAAACUCUGUUGUAAGGGAAGAACACGUACGAGAGUAACUGCUCGUACCUUGACGGUACCUUAUUAGAAAGCCACGGCUAACUACGUG